UACAGGCACUGUCCUACUUGUGGUCAC
rnacentral:piRNA from 1 species